GCUCCGGCGGCCGCGGCGGCAGCCCGGCAGCUCCGACACCCAGCCCCGCCCGACCCCGACACCGCGCGCGCCUCCGAAGUUCCGCUGCUCCGGGCAGCCGGGCACCUGGAGACAAAGCGAGAUCUGCGCUCACGGGACCCGCUCUGCCGUCCUCAUACCGCAGUUCCUGCCACCCGUUCUCGUUCAUGCCAGUCAGGGCGAGAGCCCCACGGCCUCAUCUGCCCGGGCUGCAGCACCCAUCCAACUCCAGCAACUUCCUCACCUGUCUCCCUGUGCGCCGCGGAUUCGCACCAAAUCUGAACGACCACCAUCCCAGGCUACAAGCGUGCACAUCCACACCCCAAUCCUCGGMGUCCGAAGAGCCCUCCACCAGCAACUCCAGAGCCUCAGGGUAAACAGGMCACCUAGGGCACGGCGCCGCCAGCCUGCACCGCCAACGGACCGGGGUAGCAUAGGGCGCACGGGAGCCUCCAGGACAACCAAGCUCUACGGGCCGAGCAAGUUCUGCGGGCCGGGGCUCGUCCCCGCUGUGGCGCUGGCGGUCGACGGAGGCYCUAGGUCUCUUGCUGCCAGUGGAUCGCGCGCUGGCACUGUCCGUAGGGUGCCCGCAGACCGAGCAGGGCCCCCAGGCACUUUAAACAGGGCAAAACUCUAGCUUGAWUAAGUUUAAGGAAAAUCCCGGGCUCAUUGUUUAAAUCACCACUGCAGUUCCGCAAACUCUCCCCAAGAGUCCGUGCGCCCAAAAACCAAUACGCCAAACMCGCUGGAGAGUGGUCACUCACUACUCCAGGCCGCGAGAGCCAGCGGCGAGACUUCCCGGCAUGGGUGUUCGGCCCGGUGCCGCGGAGCGGGUACUCUAGCUCCCCGCCCGGCGGUAAGAGCACGCUCUCUUCCAACCUGGCCUGCGACGCUGCACAACCUCCGCGCGCUGCAUCCCGAUUCGAAUCCUACUUCAGCUAAGUGCCCGAAGCUUCAGCGCCGACGACCCUUCCCCAGAAUGCCCCAGCCUGGGAAGGAACCCAACCCACACCAAUCGCCGCCUCCCGCCAGGCGACAAGCGGAACGAAUGGGAGCGUCUCCGCCCGCACGUGCGCGGAAAGCGGGCACUACAGGGAGCCAUACGGGCUCCAACGCCUCUGUUUUCCAAACGUCCCCGGCCCGCUGCUUCAGACUSGUAGGAUCCUGGAAGCCAUUCAAGAUCAGAUGUAAGGAUCAGGCCUUGGGUGGUUGGUUGACUGGUUCCAGGUGUUCACGCCCUCUGUCUCUGCCUGCCAGAUGCGGAUCAUCACCAUCAUCAUUUCAUCCAUAAAGAUUUUUGCGGCACAAGCAGCAUCUUACGGAGGCUGGAGAGCAGAGGAAACUGCGCAGUCCUGUGUAGCCUUGGUGCCUGGGUUGAGGACCGUGCUGGAAUUGAACUCAGAGAUGAGUCCAUGGUGCCUGAGACUGCAGUCCAGCCUCCGUCCAGCUCAGCUGCAGACAGGGCCCCAGGCAGCAUGGGCUGGGGUACAACAUGGGCUGAGCACAGUGAACGCACUGAUUAAAGCAGCCCCUGGGGUGGGGGGACUCUGGAUGAUCAGCCUAACAGCCACACUAA